UCCCUGGUAGUAUAUCGGUUAGUACACGCGCCUGUCAUCUAGUAGUUCUGAUUAUGACAUAAUCUAGCGCGCGAAAGCUGGGUUCGACUCCCAGCCAGGGAG